rnacentral:rRNA from 1 species
AAUCUCCGGUGCUUGCACCGGCGAGUUGUAGUUGCGAGAAGCACUUUCUAGGCGGAUCGGCGGCGCCUAAGUUGCUUGGAACAGCAUGUCGCAGAGGGUGACAACCCCGUCUGUGGCGUGGCCGGCCGCUGACGAUGUGCUUUCGAAGAGUCGGGUUGUUUGGGAAUGCAGCCCAAAAUGGGUGGUAAACUCCAUCUAAAGCUAAAUAUUGGCGUGAGACCGAUAGCGAACAAGUACCGUGAGGGAAAGAUGAAAAGAACUUUGAAAAGAGAGUUAAAAAGUACGUGAAACCGUUGAAAGGGAAACGAAUGGACUCAGCAAUGCGCCGUUUGAGAUUCAGCCGGUGGGUGGGAUCGGCUCGGGGUUUGCGGAUCUGAAUGGACCGCGGCCUUGGGCUCGUUUGUCCUCGCCGUCGCACUUCUCUUGGGCGCGCGUCAACGUCGGUUGGGACUGGGUCUGAAAGGUGCCGGGAAGGUAGGUCUGGACCCCCGGGUCCGGUCUGUUACAGCCCGGUUCUCUCAUGGCUCGGGCCCGACCGAGGAGUGGCAGCGCAUGCCUCUUGUGGCUAGGGUGCCGUCCUUCCGGCCGGUUGUCGAAUGCGGUGGACUGCUUGCAGUGCUCCGCGACUGCUGCCGGUCGUUGGGGUGGUGAUCUCGU